rnacentral:rRNA from 1 species
GACGAACGCUGGCGGCGUGCCUAAUACAUGCAAGUAGAACGCUGAAGAGAGGAGCUUGCUCUUCUUGGAUGAGUUGCGAACGGGUGAGUAACGCGUAGGUAACCUGCCUUGUAGCGGGGGAUAACUAUUGGAAACGAUAGCUAAUACCGCAUAACAAUGGAUGACACAUGUCAUUUAUUUGAAAGGGGCAAUUGCUGCACUACAAGAUGGACCUGCGUUGUAUUAGCUAGUAGGUGAGGUAAUGGCUCACCUAGGCGACGAUACAUAGCCGACCUGAGAGGGGGAUCGGCCACACUGGGACUGAGACACGGCCCAGACUCCUACGGGAGGCAGCAGUAGGGAAUCUUCGGCAAUGGGGGCAACCCUGACCGAGCAACGCCGCGUGAGUGAAGAAGGUUUUCGGAUCGUAAAGCUCUGUUGUAAGUCAAGAACGGGUGUGAGAGUGGAAAGUUCACACUGUGACGGUAGCUUACCAGAAAGGGACGGCUAACUACGUG